ACACAUGCAGUCGAACGGUGAAGCGGAGCUUGCUCUGCUGGAUCAGUGGCGAACGGGUGAGUAACACGUGAGCAAUCUGCCCCUGACUCUGGGAUAAGCGCUGGAAACGGCGUCUAAUACCGGAUACGAGCUGCGAAGGCAUCUUCAGCAGCUGGAAAGAACUUCGGUCAGGGAUGAGCUCGCGGCCUAUCAGCUAGUUGGUGAGGUAACGGCUCACCAAGGCGUCGACGGGUAGCCGGCCUGAGAGGGUGACCGGCCACACUGGGACUGAGACACGGCCCAGACUCCUACGGGAGGCAGCAGUGGGGAAUAUUGCACAAUGGGCGAAAGCCUGAUGCAGCAACGCCGCGUGAGGGACGACGGCCUUCGGGUUGUAAACCUCUUUUAGCAGGGAAGAAGCGAAAGUGACGGUACCUGCAGAAAAAGCGCCGGCUAACUACGUGCCAGCAGCCGCGGUAAUACGUAGGGCGCAAGCGUUAUCCGGAAUUAUUGGGCGUAAAGAGCUCGUAGGCGGUUUGUCGCGUCUGCUGUGAAAACCCGAGGCUCAACCUCGGGCCUGCAGUGGGUACGGGCAGACUAGAGUGCGGUAGGGGAGAUUGGAAUUCCUGGUGUAGCGGUGGAAUGCGCA
rnacentral:rRNA from 1 species